UACGGGGGGGGCAAGCGUUGUUCGGAAUUACUGGGCGUAAAGGGCUCGUAGGCGGCCAACUAAGUCAGACGUGAAAUCCCCAGGCUCAACCUGGGAACUGCGUCUGAUACUGGAUGGCUUGAAUUCGGGAGAGGGAUGCAGAAUUCCAGGUGUAGCGGUGAAAUGCGUAGAUAUCAGGAGGAACACCGGUGGCGAAGGCGGUUCUCUGGGCAUUACCUGACGCUGAGGAGCGAAAGUGUGGGGAGCGAACAGG
rnacentral:rRNA from 1 species